CCUACAGUGAGCUGCAGUGGGGAAUAUUGGGCAAUGUGCGCAAGCCUGACCCAGCAACGCCGCGUGAAGGAAGAAGGCUUUCGGGUUGUAAACUUCUUUUGUCAGUGACGAAGCAAGGCACGGUACCUGACGAAUAAGCCACGGCUAACUAUGUGCCAGCAGCCGCGGUAAUACGUAGGUGACAAGCGUUAUCCGGAUUCAUGGGGUGUAAAUGGCGUGUAGGCGGGAAUGCAAGUCAGAUGUGAAAACUAUGGGCUCAACCCAUAGCCUGCAUUUGAAACUGUAUUUCUUGAGUGCUGGAGAGGCAAUCGGAAUUCCGUGUGUAGCGGUGAAAUGCGUAGAUAUACGGAGGAACACCAGUGGCGAAGGCGGAUUGCUGGACAGUAACUGACGCUGAGGCGCGAAAGCGUGGGGAGCAAACAGGAUUAGAUACCCGUGUAGUC
rnacentral:rRNA from 1 species